UACGAAGGGUGCAAACGUUGCUCGGAAUUAUUGGGCGUAAAGCGCACGUAGGCGGCUUAGCAAGUCGGAAGUGAAAUCCCACGGCUCAACCAUGGAAGUGCUUUCGAAACUGCUGAGCUUGAGUACGAAAGAGGAUCGCGGAAUUCCCGGUGUAGAGGUGAAAUUCGUAGAUAUCGGGAGGAACACCAGUGGCGAAGGCGGCGAUCUGGGUCGAUACUGACGCUGAGGUGCGAAAGCGUGGGAGCAAACAGGG
rnacentral:rRNA from 1 species